CUACGUGCCAGCAGCCGCGGUAAUACGGAGGGUGCGAGCGUUAAUCGGAAUAACUGGGCGUAAAGGGCACGCAGGCGGUGACUUAAGUGAGGUGUGAAAGCCCCGGGCUUAACCUGGGAAUUGCAUUUCAUACUGGGUCGCUAGAGUACUUUAGGGAGGGGGAGAAUUCCACGUGUAGCGGUGAAAUGCGUAGAGAUGUGGAGGAAUACCGAAGGCGAAGGCAGCCCCUUGGGAAUGUACUGACGCUCAUGUGCGAAAGCGUGGGGAGCAAACAGGAUUAGAUACCCUGGUAGUCCACGCUGUAAACGAUGUCGAUUUGGGGGUUGAGCUUUAAGUUUGGCGCCCGUAGCUAACGUGAUAAAUCGACCGCCUGGGGAGUACGGCCGCAAGGUUAAAACUCAAAUGAAUUGACGGGGGCCCGCACAAGCGGUGGAGCAUGUGGUUUAAUUCGAUGCAACGCGAAGAACCUUACCUACUCUUGACAUCCAGAGAACAUUC
rnacentral:rRNA from 1 species